rnacentral:tRNA from 1 species
CCUGCUUUGGGAGCAGGAUGUCGCAGGUUCGAAUCCUGUCUCCCCGACCA